GCUUAUCACCAUUCCCGAUUGAAUAUACCCGAUCUCGUCUGAUCUCGGAAGUCAAGCAAUCU
rnacentral:rRNA from 1 species